CUGCCUCUGUCUUUCAAGUUCUGUAAUUACAGGCAGGAUUUUCAUUCUUUGAAAGAAAAGAGAAAGCUCAAGGCCAUCCUCCACUUUAGAGAGAGAGUGUGUCACAAAAACAACACUAAAGAAGAAAAGAAAAGAAUAGGGGAGAAGGAGGAGAAAUGGGAAGGUUAAUCUUCAUUGAACUCUGAGAGAACAGGCCAAAGGAAGAGACUGGCUUCAAGUUGAGGGUUUUAACGGUGUCAAGGUGCUUGUAAAAUGCCCAUGGCAAAUCUUCACUACAUAGGGUCUCCAUUAUCUUGCAGCUCUGUCAACUAACCAAAGAGAAUAAUUGCUCUAUUUAGUCAGCACUGGGGUGUAAUUUGCAUACAAUGUAGAUAUACCCUUUUAAAGACUGUUGUGCCUUAUUUAAAUAGUUAUCAAAUGCAUUACAUGAAAUAGCUUUUCCCAAAUUGUCGAGGAACAUUUGGCCUGGACACAGCGUGCUGGAAGUACCAGGAGAAGUUUCCCAGAAUGGUACUCAAAUCAGUCACUGACCAUAAGCUGGUACCAAAACAGCCAUGACCACCCUGUUGGAUAUUUUAAGGCUAAUGACAGAAGCUUUUAUUUAUAUUGUGGAAAGCAUUUUCAAAAUGUCAAUGCCUGGAGGCUGCGGAAACAGGCGUAUGUGUAUGAAAGUAAAAUAAGGAACUCUAAGAUGCUGGAGAAGCAUGGAGAACAAGGACAAGCCAGCAGCAAAUGCCAAAUCACUUUACAAAUCUGGAAAUCUGUUGUGCCACUUUGCUGGAAAUUUUUCUAUAGAUUUGCAUGAUGUUGACAUUGAACUCCAGAUGCCCAGGCCCUGCCCUUGCAAUCACAUCCACGAUCUCCUUCCCUGGACAUACUCCUGUCCUAUGGGCUUCUCUCCCAAGCUCUCAAUGCAUUAGGGCCUAGCACUUGCUGAGUGUUCUACCUGAAUGGGACUGUUCCCCUCUCUGACCUUGCCUGCUCACAGUGGAGAACUGAGGGUGUGCAUAGUUAUCCCCAAGAUGAAACAUAGGCAAAUUGGAAAGCAACAGACAAAAUGUGCCUACAGCCAGCAGGGAAGACUUGGCUACAGUUGAAAGCAAAAAUCAAACAUGACUUUCAUGAAGCCCAAAAAAUGAUAGGUCCCCUAGCAACUGGACCUUGACGUAGCAUUGGGAAAUGGAAUUGGUGUUUCUGUUGGUUGAUUAUUUCGUUGAUUGGUUGGUUUGCUGUUGUGUUUGUUUCUAGGUGGGAGGUGGGGGCUAGGGUUUAGACAGAUUCUCACUAUGUCUCUCAGGCUGGCCUAAAGAUCAUGAUCCCUCCCCUGCCUCAACCUUCUGGGAUUACAAGCACCUACUAGCAUGCCCACCUUAGAAUUGGCAUCACAUGUGAGAACAGGACCCUCAUAUGUAGUGU
rnacentral:lncRNA from 1 species